rnacentral:lncRNA from 1 species
UCUGAGCCUGUUUUGUCCCCAGAUGUUGAUGAUGAUGGGCUUGCUGCUGCCUUUGAUCUACGCCAUGAAGCGGCAUAAGUGGUCAGUCCUGAAGAGUCGAAAGCUGGCAUAUAGGCCACCCAAGUGACCCUUUCCAGCAUCUACUUGCCAUCUUGCCUGAACAGACCCUCAAGCCCAGGAGCCAUCCUAGGCCUGUUCAGGCCUUACCUGGCCCACUCGGCCCGGCCCCUCUUCGUCUGGGAUGAGGGAGGGGGCAGGAGACUGGGCCUUGGCUCCAGAUUUCAUUUAGCCUCAUCAUGGGAAUAAAUUAAGUUUCUCAACAUACACAUUUGAACUUUUAUCUGACAAGAGUGUAGUCUUGC